ensembl:lncRNA
AAUGGCUGUGGAGCAAACGGCUCCUUUUUGUGGAAGUGUCCAAGCAGUGCAGACUUCGGCUUCACUCUUCACUGAGGGCAGAGAUACAGCCUGGGCAGGUGCUCUCCCUGUUGGAACACACCCCAUCAGUGUGGGUCUUCACUGUGAGAAUGUUUCUUUCCAUUCCACUGAAAGGGGAGGCGUGUAGGAGAAAUAUCUCCUGGGAGUUGUGUAGAAAUGCUGAGCUGGAAGCUGUGAGCUGCUGCAAGUUCUCCUGCAUGCCUUGUUUGCAGUCUGGGAACUUCUGCUGUGCUGCUGGCACAGGGACUUACCACCAUGUGAUACUGCCUCAGAAUAUCUUCUGAAAGCACAGCUUUCUCCUCACCUGUUCUUGGAGUCUGUCAGGCACCUUGUCAUGGUGUAAGGUUGGCCCCAGAACACUUGCUCUUGUUUGGAGAAAUAAGCAGAACACCCUGCUCUCUGUAGUAUUGUCUUUGCCAUGAUUUCAGAUGGGUUGUUGUAUUCUAUCUCAUGCUACAGUAGAUAUUCACAGUGAUUUGCCAUAGAAUAAGAGGCAUCUUACCUCCAGAAAGUUCAGAGUAGUGCACAGAUCCUUCCUUGCUCUUAUUCUGAGCCUUGUUCUUUGGUGGGUGUUCUUCACCUUCCUGAUUUCUGAAGGAGAAGGCAAAAGUAUGAAAAUUGACUCCAAUCUUACUGCUGUGUGAUAUGAACAAAUUACUUCUCUUGGGAAUGUCUGCAGGUUGAUGUAGUGAAGAAUGACCUGUGAUAACAUGGGAGUAUAUAUUUGUAAGUCACACUAUGGACUUAACAAGAUUUAUGCUGCUUUAAACCUUGAGGAAUUCUGGUGGUUUCAUGGAAAAACUUGCCUGAGUUAAAUUUUAAGUUGUAGUCAGGUCUUAGAGAGAGUUGUCCCUGUUAGGCUACCUCUGAAAAUGCUCUCUAAGCUCUAACAUUAGGCAGGGGUAUUGAAAGAAACAUGGAGUAAAUAUAUUUAAUUAUCUUGGCAUGGUCCUGCUUCUGUGAAGGGAUCCAGGUCUCUCCAAACAAUUUGCCAUGUGUACAUGCUGAUCUAUGUCUGAGAUCUGCUCUAGAGUAAGCUGAACACCUCUGUAUGGGCAGAGGCAGCAGACUUUUCUCAUUGUCUUACAACUGUGAACAAGAGCAUCAGAACCUAUGACUGUGAGCCAGGCUGCAACAGCUCUUCCCAGGAUACUGGAGACAGAAACAGCAAAACCCUUG